CACUACACAAAUGGCACCUUGUCUAAGGGCCCGAUCUCAUCUCAUCUCAGAAGCUAACCAGGGUUGGGCUUUGUUAAGUACUUGGAUGGAAGACCGUCUGGAAACACCGGGUGCUGUAUUUU
rnacentral:rRNA from 1 species